GACGAACGCUGGCGGCGUGCUUAACACAUGCAAGUCGAACGCUGAAGCUCAGCUUGCUGGGUGGAUGAGUGGCGAACGGGUGAGUAACACGUGAGUAACCUGCCCUCUUCUUUGGGAUAACGCCCGGAAACGGGUGCUAAUACUGGAUAUUCACUGAUUCUCGCAUGGGGGUUGGUGGAAAGGUUUUUUCUGGUGGGGGAUGGGCUCGCGGCCUAUCAGCUUGUUGGUGGGGUGAUGGCCUACCAAGGCUUUGACGGGUAGCCGGCCUGAGAGGGUGACCGGUGAAAUUGGGAAUGGGAUAGGGGCCAGACUGAUGCGGGAGGAAGCAGUGGGGAAUAUUGCGCAAUAGGCGAAAGGCUGAUGCAGCGACGACGCGUGAGGGAUGGAGGACUUCGGGUUGUAAACCUCUUUCGCUCAUGGUCAAGCCGCAGAUUUGGGUUGUGGUGAGGGUAGUGGGUAAAGAAGCGCCGGCUAACUACGUG
rnacentral:rRNA from 1 species